rnacentral:rRNA from 1 species
CAGCCGCCGCGGUAAUACGGAGGGGGCUAGCGUUGUUCGGAAUUACUGGGCGUAAAGCGCACGUAGGCGGCUUGGUAAGUUAGAGGUGAAAGCCUGGAGCUCAACUCCAGAAUUGCCUUUAAGACUGCCGAGCUAGCAGGUGAGAGAGGUAAGUGGAAUUCCGAGUGUAGAGGUGAAAUUCGUAGAUAUUCGGAAGAACACCAGUGGCGAAGGCGGCUUACUGGCUCAUACUGGACGCUGAGGUGCGAAAGCGUGGGGAGCAAACAGGAUUAGAUACCCCGGUAGUCCCUGUCUCUUAUAC